rnacentral:rRNA from 1 species
AUUGAACGCUGGCGGCAUGCCUUACACAUGCAAGUCGAACGGUAACGCGGGGCAACCUGGCGACGAGUGGCGAACGGGUGAGUACUGCAUCGGAACGUGCCCAGUAGUGGGGGAUAACUGCUCGAAAGAGCAGCUAAUACCGCAUACGACCUGAGGGUGAAAGCGGGGGAUCGCAAGACCUCGCGCUAUUGGCGCGGCCGAUGUCAGAUUAGGUAGUUGGUGGGGUAAAGGCCCACCAAGCCAACGAUCUGUAGCGGGUCUGAGAGGGCGACCAGCCACACUGGGACUGAGACACGGCCCAGACUCCUACGGGAGGCAGCAGUGGGGAAUUUUGGACAAUGGACGCAAGUCUGAUCCAGCCAUGCCGCGUGCGGGAAGAGGGCCUUCGGGUUGUAAACCGAUUUUGUCAGGGAAGAAACGCUCUGGGUUAAUACCUCGGGGUCCAUGACGGUACCGUAAGAAUAAGCACCGGCUAACUACGUGCCAGCAGCCGCCGUAAGAC